CCUGUGCCUUUUAUUAUACUUGAAGACUCAGCCUGAAGACUCAGCCUGAAGACUCAGCCUGGAUCGUGUGUGCUUUCCUCAAUCUUUUUCUGACGACCAUUAUACCAUGUGCACUCCAGAUGAGGCCUGUGCCUGUUCCGUUUGUUCCCGGGAGAUCUCUCAAGAGGGGAAGGAUGCGUGAGCACGGAAAACGAAUGGAAACGAGAGACAGAUCCUCCUGAUUAUCUUGCAGUCUCAAAAAUAUAUAAUGCCUCCCACCCACCAGAAGCCCUAAACAGGAAGCACUGGUUGGCAAACGGACAAGGCCGUUUCCGUAGUGACAAAGGGAGCGCAAAAGCCCUCCUUGCAGUGUCUGCUCCGGCUCACACUGUACCUUCUUAACUGGAUGAGACGGGAGGAGGAGCGGGGGAGCAGUGGGAUGGACAGGGACCUUUUUUAUUCUGUCCCAGAGGGAGGCAGAGAGAGCAGGCGGUGUGUGUGUGUGUGUGUGUGUGUGUGUGUGUGUGUGUGUGUGUGUGUGUUUUUUUUUCUUAAUUUAUCUCCAAACUGUGAAAGGCUUUAUUGAUGUUAUUGAUGUUGAGUUUACAAUUCUCCCAGGAGGACGGUGACAACUUAAUGGAGUUUGUUUAGGUCAUUUCAGCUUUCAAACUGUGGCGCUCAUCAUCUCAUACAUAGUGCUGUAAAACCUUGUCAGCAAUAAGUACAUGGCUGUGAUUUUUAUUGUGUUGUGAAUAUACAUAUGAUAUUUAGUUUUAAUAUAUACUGAUGCAAAAAUAUGCUGUAUUUUUAGUCUUUUUCACUGUAUACUCUCAGUAAUGGAGAGACUGGCUGAUCAUGACAUGACUGAAUUUUCCAGUCCAUGUGAUUUCAUUGUUUAUAGUGUGCUCUGUUGUCUGUGAGGAAUGUGUUGAGGAAAUAGGUUUCCAAUGACACAUACAGAGGGGGACAACCUUUACAUUACAUGCAACACACUUUGUUCAGCUUAGUAUUUCACUCCAAUUUAAACAAAUUUUUGGAAUUAAGAAUAAUUCUACCAAAUAAAUAGUCUCUCUAAAAACUGUGAACAGGACAUUGUUUCUUCAAAGACAUGUUGCUGUUGAAUGCAUGGGCGUAAGAGAGAAUUUUUAACCAACUCUUUAAAUGUGUCUUUGUUUUAGAUCUUAAAAAAAAUUGUCUCUGUUGCUAUCUGUAUACAAGUAUAUCCAUGUAUUCCAUUCUAUUCUAUCUAAUAUCUGUAACGCUUAAGAUAUAUCACUUAUUAUACACUAUGAUACCCCCUAUUUAGUAUUUAUAAGCACUACAUAAAUGUAACACACUAUAAUGUAGCUUUAAGCAGAUAUAAGGACAUUUUAAGAGUUUUACUAUAUUGUCAUUCAUUAUCUGUUUACAUACCAGCCUCCAUAUAUUGGAGCAGUUAUAGCUGUUGACAAAUAAACACUCAUAUCUGCCAACAACCAUGUUUAUUAAUGCUGAAUGUUAAUAGUUUAUAACAUGGCAGUAUAUUUCCAAAUGGUGAAUCCUCAGAUAUGUUUGUUCCUCUGCCACUAGAGGGCAAUACAAACACUUGAAACAGUGGCCUUCAACCCUGUGCUAAAACCAAACUUUUGACCUACUUUCAGUGUGGUUAUGCUUUGUCAGCGUAUCCCAACUAAUCAACUAAUGCUGAAGUCUUUCCUUCUAAUGAAGAACAGUGUAGUGUUCAACUUCACUUUCAGUAUGUGUUGUGUGACUGCUGAGAAAAAUGUUUGAGGGAUUAUGUUUUUUUCAGAAUCAGGUUUACCGCCAAGCAGGUUUUCACAUGCAAGAGUAUGGCCUUGGUAUAUUGGUGCAAUUAAACAUAGAACAAGGAAAAAUACAAAGAUGAAAACAGGUUCUGCAAGUCAAGAAGCAAUAAAGAAUACAAAAUUGACAAUAACAUGAAAAAUAUAAAGACAAUAAGAGACAACAUGUACAAUAUAACUUAUUUUAAAUAGAAGCUGUGUGUGCAGAAAUGUUUAAAAUAUUGUCCAGGGAAUGUGCAAAAUAUCACAGUAUUAAGACCGAUGAAUAUUUGCAAUGUAUAAUAUUUUUGUCAAGGUGAAGAAUAUUUAGUUUGAGGGUAGACUGAUUUCUCUUAGGAUAGUCUGGUUUCAGGAUCGAUAUGUUUCAAGGUUUCUUCCCCUGUAACUUUACAUAACUUUGACCACUUUCAAAAGGACUGUUGUACUGCAGCUAAAUCGAAUGAGACAAGACGUGCUUGAAUCCCUUUGUGGCCGGCUCACUUCAUGAAUGACCCCAAGGGGUUUUCCUUGGCAUUUCAGGCAACACUUCUUUAGAUCACAGUUUGAGGCUCUAUGGUCAUGUACACAUCUCCAGCAAUGCCCUUUCUCCUGGAUCCACUUUGUAACUGUAUCCUGUCAUAACUGACACAAAUCUGGACAGACAAUUAAAUGGUUGUCAGGGACACCACAAAAAGGACAUGUCUGAUAGUUAGAGAAGUCAAUAAGGAGCAGAUGCUGUACAUGAGAUGUACAAGCCAACGGCAUGUCCUUCACCAUUUUCCAAAGACUGCAGCCUACCUACAAGAGCUCGGACUCAGAUGGAAAAGUCUCCAAAGCUUCUGAAAUCACUAGGACAAACUGAGGGGAGAUUCAGAACUAGCUGCUGUGUCUUGCCAUACAUCUGCUACAAGGCUGACGUAGUUCUGGUGUGAGGAAGUUGGUGAAGUGCGUAGGCUAAAGCAAGGUGACAAGCUGUGUCCAAGUGGUCCAAUAAUACAUGAUGUUCAAACUGCUCGCUUUCAUCGUGAGGCAGAAGAUUUGUGAGAGCCACAUU